GUAGGUGGCAAGCGUUGUCCGGGAAUUAUUGGGGCGUAAAGCGCGCGCAGGCGGCUCUUUAAGUCUGAUGUGAAAGCCCACGGGCUCAACCGUGGAGGGUCACUGGAAACUGGAGAACUUGAGUACAGAAGAGGAAAGCGGAAUUCCACGUGUAGCGGUGAAAUGCGUAGAGAUGUGGAGGAACACCAGUGGCGAAGGCGGCUUUCUGGUCUGUAACUGACGCUGAGGCGCGAAAGCGUGGGGAGCAAACAGGAUUAGAUACCCUGGUAGUCCACGCCGUAAACGAUGAGUGCUAAGUGUUAGGGGGUUUCCGCCCCUUAGUGCUGCAGCUAACGCAUUAAGCACUCCGCCUGGGGAGUACGGCCGCAAGGCUG
rnacentral:rRNA from 1 species